UGGCGGACGGGUGAGUAAUGUCUGGGAAACUGCCCGAUGAGGGGGAGUAACUACUGGAAACGGUAGCUAAUACCGCAUAACGUCGCAAGACCAAAGAGGGGGACCUUCGGGCCUCUUGCCAUCGGAUGUGCCCAGAUGGGAUUAGCUAGUGGUGGGGUAACGGCUCACCUAGGCGACGAUCCCUAGCUGGUCUGAGAGGAUGACCAGCCACACUGGAACUGAGACACGGUCCAG
rnacentral:rRNA from 1 species